rnacentral:rRNA from 1 species
GACGAACGCUGGCGGCGUGCUUAACACAUGCAAGUCGAGCGGAAAGGCCCUUUGGGGUACUCGAGCGGCGAACGGGUGAGUAACACGUGAGUAACCUGCCCUCAGCUUUGGGAUAAGCCUGGGAAACUGGGUCUAAUACCGGAUAUGACAUGCUCUCGCAUGGGGGUGUGUGGAAAGUUUUUUCGGCUGGGGAUGGGCUCGCGGCCUAUCAGCUUGUUGGUGGGGUAGUGGCCUACCAAGGCGACGACGGGUAGCCGGCCUGAGAGGGCGACCGGCC